rnacentral:tRNA from 3 species
UCCCCGGUAGCUCAAUAGGCAGAGCGGGUGACUGUUAAUCACUAGGUUGGCGGUUCAAGUCCGUCCCGGGGAGCCA